UACGGAGGGUGCAAGCGUUAAUCGGAAUUACUGGGCGUAAAGCGCGCGUAGGCGGAUUUGUCAGUCAGAUGUGAAAGCCCUGGGCUCAACCUAGGAAUUGCAUUUGAUACUGCAGGUCUAGAGUAUGGUAGAGGUGAGUGGAAUUCCAGGUGUAGCGGUGAAAUGCGUAGAUAUCUGGAGGAACAUCAGUGGCGAAGGCGACUCACUGGAUCAAUACUGACGCUGAGGUGCGAAAGCGUGGGGAGCAAACAGG
rnacentral:rRNA from 1 species